CCUACGGGAGGCAGCAGUGGGGAAUAUUGCACAAUGGGGGAAACCCUGAUGCAGCGACGCCGCGUGAGUGAAGAAGUAUUUCGGUAUGUAAAGCUCUAUCAGCAGGGAAGAAAAUGACGGUACCUGAUUAAGAAGCCCCGGCUAACUACGUGCCAGCAGCCGCGGGAAUACGUAGGGGGUAAGCGUUAUCCGGAUUUACUGUGUGUAAAGGGAGCGUAGACGGCAGCACAAGUCUGGAGUGAAAUGCCGGGGCUUAACCCCGGAACUGCUUUGGAAACUGUGCAGCUAGAGUGCAGGAGAGGUAAGUGGAAUUCCUAGUGUAGCGGGGAAAUGCGUAGAUAUUAGGAGGAACACCAGUGGCGAAGGCGGCUUACUGGACUGUAACUGACGUUGAGGCUCGAAAGCGUGGGGAGCAAACAGGAUUAGAUACACCAGUAGUC
rnacentral:rRNA from 1 species